rnacentral:rRNA from 1 species
AACGAACGCUGGCGGCAUGCCUAAUACAUGCAAGUCGAACGAGAUCUUCGGAUCUAGUGGCGCACGGGUGCGUAACGCGUGGGAAUCUGCCCUUGGGUUCGGAAUAACAGUUAGAAAUGACUGCUAAUACCGGAUGAUGACGUAAGUCCAAAGAUUUAUCGCCCAGGGAUGAGCCCGCGUAGGAUUAGCUAGUUGGUGAGGUAAAGGCUCACCAAGGCUACGAUCCUUAGCUGGUCUGAGAGGAUGAUCAGCCACACUGGGACUGAGACACGGCCCAGACUCCUACGGGAGGCAGCAGAAGGGAAUAUUGGACAAUGGGGGAAACCCUGAUCCAGCAAUGCCGCGUGAGCGAUGAAGGCCUUAGGGUUGUAAAGCUCUUUUACCCGGGAUGAUAAUGACAGUACCGGGAGAAUAAGCCCCGGCUAACUCCGUGCCAGCAGCCGCGGUAA